UGGGGGAUAUUGCACAAUGGGCGAAAGCCUGAUGCAGCGACGCCGCGUGGGGGAUGAAGGCUCUCGGGUUGUAAACCUCUUUCGCUAUCGAACAAGGCCCGCUUAGGGUGGGUUGAGGGUAGGUGGAGAAGAAGCGCCGGCUAACUACGUGCCAGCAGCCGCGGUAAUACGUAGGGCGCGAGCGUUGUCCGGUAUUAUUGGGCGUAAAGGGCUUGUAGGCGGCUUGUUGCGCCUGCUGUGAAAACGCGGGGCUUAACUUCGCGCGUGCAGUGGGUACGGGCAGGCUUGAGUGUGGUAGGGGUGACUGGAAUUCCAGGUGUAGCGGUGGAAUGCGCAGAUAUCUGGAGGAACACCGAUGGCGAAGGCAGGUCACUGGGCCAUUACUGACGCUGAGGAGCGAAAGCAUGGGUAGCGAACAGG
rnacentral:rRNA from 1 species